GACGAACGCUGGCGGCGUGCCUAAUACAUGCAAGUUGAGCGAUGAAGAUUGGUGCUUGCACCAAUUUGAAGAGCAGCGAAAGGGUGAGUAACGCGUGGGGAAUCUGCCUUUGAGCGGGGGACAACAUUUGGAAACGAAUGCUAAUACCGCAUAACAACUUUAAACAUAAGUUUUAAGUUUGAAAGAUGCAAUUGCAUCACUCAAAGAUGAUCCCGCGUUGUAUUAGCUAGUUGGUGAGGUAAAGGCUCACCAAGGCGAUGAUACAUAGCCGACCUGAGAGGGUGAUCGGCCACAUUGGGACUGAGACACGGCCCAAACUCCUACGGGAGGCAGCAGUAGGGAAUCUUCGGCAAUAGACGAAAGUCUGACCGAGCAACGCCGCGUGAGUGAAGAAGGUUUUCGGAUCGUAAAACUCUGUUGGUAGAGAAGAACGUUGGUGAGAGUGGAAAGCUCAUCAAGUGACGGUAACUACCCAGAAAGGGACGGCUAACUACGUG
rnacentral:rRNA from 1 species